ACAGGGAUUGCCCUAGUAACGGCGAGUGAAGCGGCAACAGCUCAAAUUUGAAAUCUGGCUCUUUUAGAGUCCGAGUUGUAAUUUGCAGAGGGCGCUUUGGCUUUGGCAGCGGUCCAAGUUCCUUGGAACAGGACGUCACAGAGGGUGAGAAUCCCGUACGUGGUCGCUGGCUAUUGCCGUGUAAAGCCCCUUCGACGAGUCGAGUUGUUUGGGAAUGCAGCUCUAAAUGGGAGGUACAUUUCUUCUAAAGCUAAAUAUUGGCCAGAGACCGAUAGCGCACAAGUAGAGUGAUCGAAAGAUGAAAAGCACUUUGGAAAGAGAGUCAAACAGCACGUGAAAUUGUUGAAAGGGAAGCGCUUGCAGCCAGACUUGCUUGCAGUUGCUCAUCCGGGCUUUUGCCCGGUGCACUCUUCUGCAGGCAGGCCAGCAUCAGUUUGGGCGGUAAGAUAAAGGUCUCUGUCACGUACCUCUCUUCGGGGAGGCCUUAUAGGGGAGACGACAUAUUACCAGCCUGGACUGAGGUCCGCGCAUCUGCUAGGAUGCUGGCGUAAUGGCUGUAAGCGGCCCGUCUUGAAACACGGACCAAGGAGUCUAACAUCUAUGCGAGUGUUUGGGUGUCAAGCCCGAGCGCGUAAUGAAAGUGAACGGAGGUAGGAACCCGCAAGGGUGCACUAUCGACCGAUCCUGAUGUCUUCGGAAGGAUUUGAGUAAGAGCAUGGCUGUUGGGACCCGAAAGAUGGUGAACUAUGCUUGAAUAGGGUGAAGCCAGAGGAAACUCUGGUGGAGGCUCGCAGCGGUUCUGACGUGCAAAUCGAUCGUCAAAUUGGGCAUAGGGGCGAAAGACUAAU
rnacentral:rRNA from 1 species